rnacentral:snoRNA from 1 species
UCGAGGAACCAUGACCGUGGGGUUAGAGCGUGAUUGAUGUCUGAUCCGUUCUUCGGAAUUGUUCAUGGCUGUCGAGGAUUGUUCUCGGUUGGGAUUUCCUAGCUGGGGUGGUCCCACGAUUGUUUGA